rnacentral:lncRNA from 1 species
CCCAGCAACCAUGGAUUGUUUUUCAGAAAAAAUUAAUUUUAUAUUAUAAAAGUUUUAAAUUAUAUAAAGUCUUUAGGAAUGUGUCUUGACAUAAAUAAGAACAUUCUGUACCAAAGUGCUAAAGGUUCAAAUGUGUCCUUCCAAAAUAGGUUGGAGUCCUUGCCCCGGUGCCUGUAAAAAUGACCUUAUUUGGAAUUAGGGUCAUUACAGAUCACCAUGUUGAGAUGAGGCCAUUUGGUGGGAUCUGAUCCAACAUGACUGAUAUCCUUACAUAAAGGGGAAAUCUGGGCACAGAGACUUGUAAGUAGAGGGAAAUGAUGUGAAGACAGAGAGAAGGCCAUCUGUAAGACAAGUAGUGCCCAAGGCUACUGAGAGCUGGGAGGGAGGCAUGGAAUAGAUGGCUACUUACUGCUCUUGAAGGAACCAACCCUAUUGAAAUGUUGAUUCAAACUUCCAGCUUUUAGACCUUUGAGUCAAAAAAAAUUUCUGCUGGCUAAGCCACCCAUUCAUUGAUGCUUUGUUAUGGGAGCUCUUGCCAGCUGAUGCAUCAAGUGACUGGCCUGAUUUAAAAUUACUCAUUGUUGAGGAUGAAAAGUGGUGAUCUCAAUGUUUUGGCCAACAGAGGACCCUGAGAAAAACCUCUUAGGGGGAGGGAAUGUCCUUCCUGUGGUUACCUGUCCCAAGGGGAAACCUGGCUUUCUCAUCCAGUCACUACCCUAGCAGUGUUAUUCGUUCAUCAGGUACAUUUCUGAGAGAUUGGUGGCCUUGAAGCUGGAAAAUAGGACUUUGAUUGGGUUGAAGAAAUUUCAAGGGGGUCUUGGAGGAAUGCCCUGAUGACCAGAAACACUUCCCAUCUUAUAAUCAAGUGGGGUCAAUUGUUGGGAGCAAUCAAAAGAGAUGAAGUUUGUCAAGGAGGUGAGAGGUAAAGUUCAUCACCUGCAGUUUUGCUUGGAGCCAGGACUGGACAAUAAGGGCAGACUAGGCUGAGAGGUAAGAG